AGCGCGGGGCAACCUGGCGGCGAGUGGCGAACGGGUGAGUAAUAUAUCGGAACGUACCCUGGAGUGGGGGAUAACGUAGCGAAAGUUACGCUAAUACCGCAUACGAUCUAAGGAUGAAAGUGGGGGAUUCGCAAGAACCUCAUGCUCCUGGAGCGGCCGAUAUCUGAUUAGCUAGUUGGUAGGGUAAAAGCCUACCAAGGCAUCGAUCAGUAGCUGGUCUGAGAGGACGACCAGCCACACUGGAACUGAGACACGGUCCAGACUCCUACGGGAGGCAGCAGUGGGGAAUUUUGGACAAUGGGCGCAAGCCUGAUCCAGCAGUGCCGCGUGAGUGAAGAAGGCCUUCGGGUUGUAAAGCUCUUUUGUCAGGGAAGAAACGGCCUGUUCUAAUACAGUGGGCUAAUGACGGUACCUGAAGAAUAAGCACCGGCUAACUACGUGCCAGCAGCCGCGGUAAUACGUAGGGUGCAAGCGUUAAUCGGAAUUACUGGGCGUAAAGCGUGCGCAGGCGGUUUUGUAAGUUUGUCGUGAAAUCCCCGGGCUCAACCUGGGAAUGGCGAUGAAGACUGCAAGGCUAGAGUUUGGCAGAGGGGGGUAGAAUUCCACGUGUAGCAGUGAAAUGCGUAGAUAUGUGGAGGAACACCGAUGGCGAACGCAGCCCCCUGGGUCAAACUGACGCUCAUGCACGAAAGCGUGGAGAGC
rnacentral:rRNA from 1 species